rnacentral:rRNA from 1 species
ACUUCGUGAAGCUGGAUUCGCUAGUAAUCGCGCAUCAGCCAUGGCGCGGUGAAUACGUUCCCGGGCCUUGUACACACCGCCCGUCAAGCCAUGAAAGCCGGGGGUACCUGAAGUACGUAACCGCAAGGAGCGUCCUAGGGUAAAACUGGUAAUUGGGGCUAAGUCGUAACAAGGUAUC